rnacentral:rRNA from 1 species
UACGUAGGGUGCGAGCGUUGUCCGGAAUUAUUGGGCGUAAAGGGCUCGUAGGCGGUUUGUCGCGUCGGGAGUGAAAUCCACUGGCUUAACUGGUGGCUUGCUUUCGAUACGGGCAGACUGGAGGUAUGCAGGGGAGAACGGAAUUCCUGGUGUAGCGGUGAAAUGCGCAGAUAUCAGGAGGAACACCGGUGGCGAAGGCGGUUCUCUGGGCAUGUCCUGACGCUGAGGAGCGAAAGCGUGGGGAGCGAACAGG